ACUCCUACGGGAGGCAGCAGUGGGGAAUAUUGCACAAUGGGGGGAAACCCUGAUGCAGCCAUGCCGCGUGUGUGAAGAAGGCCUUCGGGUUGUAAAGCACUUUCAGUAGGGAGGAAGGUAGUGUAGUUAACACCUGCAUUAUUUGACGUUACCUACAGAAGAAGCACCGGCUAACUCCGUGCCAGCAGCCGCGGUAAUACGGAGGGUGCGAGCGUUAAUCGGAAUUACUGGGCGUAAAGCGCAUGCAGGCGGCCUGUUAAGUCAGAUGUGAAAGCCCGGGGCUUAACCUCGGAAUUGCAUUUGAAACUGGCAGGCUAGAGUCUUGUAGAGGGGGGUAGAAUUUCAGGUGUAGCGGUGAAAUGCGUAGAGAUCUGAAGGAAUACCAGUGGCGAAGGCGGCCCCCCUGGACAAAGACUGACGCUCAGAUGCGAAAGCGUGGGGAGCAAACAGGAUUAGAUACCCUGGUAGGAUAGCG
rnacentral:rRNA from 1 species